rnacentral:rRNA from 1 species
UACGGAGGAUGCGAGCGUUAUCCGGAUUUAUUGGGUUUAAAGGGUGCGUAGGUUGUUUUUUAAGUCAGCGGUAAAAGCCCGGGGCUCAACCCCGGCGAGCCGUUGAAACUGGCUGUCUUGAGAUGUCGAGAGGUAUGCGGAAUGCGCAGUGUAGCGGUGAAAUGCUUAGAUAUUGCGCAGAACUCCGAUUGCGAAGGCAGCAUGCCGGCUCCACACUGACGCUGAGGCACGAAAGCGUGGGGAUCGAACAGG